GGUUAAGCGACUAAGCGUACACGGUGGAUGCCCUGGCAGUCAGAGGCGAUGAAGGACGUGCUAAUCUGCGAUAAGCGUCGGUAAGGUGAUAUGAACCGUUAUAACCGGCGAUUUCCGAAUGGGGAAACCCAGUGUGUUUCGACACACUAUCAUUAACUGAAUCCAUAGGUUAAUGAGGCGAACCGGGGGAACUGAAACAUCUAAGUACCCCGAGGAAAAGAAAUCAACCGAGAUUCCCCCAGUAGCGGCGAGCGAACGGGGAGCAGCCCAGAGCCUGAAUCAGUAUGUGUGUUAGUGGAAGCGUCUGGAAAGGCGCGCGAUACAGGGUGACAGCCCCGUACACAAAAAUGCACAUAUUGUGAGCUCGAUGAGUAGGGCGGGACACGUGGUAUCCUGUCUGAAUAUGGGGGGACCAUCCUCCAAGGCUAAAUACUCCUGACUGACCGAUAGUGAACCAGUACCGUGAGGGAAAGGCGAAAAGAACCCCGGCGAGGGGAGUGAAAAAGAACCUGAAACCGUGUACGUACAAGCAGUGGGAGCACGCUUAGGCGUGUGACUGCGUACCUUUUGUAUAAUGGGUCAGCGACUUAUAUUCUGUAGCAAGGUUAACCGAAUAGGGGAGCCGAAGGGAAACCGAGUCUUAACUGGGCGUUAAGUUGCAGGGUAUAGACCCGAAACCCGGUGAUCUAGCCAUGGGCAGGUUGAAGGUUGGGUAACACUAACUGGAGGACCGAACCGACUAAUGUUGAAAAAUUAGCGGAUGACUUGUGGCUGGGGGUGAAAGGCCAAUCAAACCGGGAGAUAGCUGGUUCUCCCCGAAAGCUAUUUAGGUAGCGCCUCGUGAAUUCAUCUCCGGGGUAGAGCACUGUUUCGGCAAGGGGGUCAUCCCGACUUACCAACCCGAUGCAAACUGCGAAUACCGGAGAAUGUUAUCACGGGAGACACACGGCGGGUGCUAACGUCCGUCGUGAAGAGGGAAACAACCCAGACCGCCAGCUAAGGUCCCAAAGUCAUGGUUAAGUGGGAAACGAUGUGGGAAGGCCCAGACAGCCAGGAUGUUGGCUUAGAAGCAGCCAUCAUUUAAAGAAAGCGUAAUAGCUCACUGGUCGAGUCGGCCUGCGCGGAAGAUGUAACGGGGCUAAACCAUGCACCGAAGCUGCGGCAGCGACGCUGAUGCGUUGUUGGGUAGGGGAGCGUUCUGUAAGCCUGUGAAGGUGUGCUGUGAGGCAUGCUGGAGGUAUCAGAAGUGCGAAUGCUGACAUAAGUAACGAUAAAGCGGGUGAAAAGCCCGCUCGCCGGAAGACCAAGGGUUCCUGUCCAACGUUAAUCGGGGCAGGGUGAGUCGACCCCUAAGGCGAGGCCGAAAGGCGUAGUCGAUGGGAAACAGGUUAAUAUUCCUGUACUUGGUGUUACUGCGAAGGGGGACGGAGAAGGCUAUGUUGGCCGGGCGACGGUUGUCCCGGUUUAAGCGUGUAGGCUGGUUUUCCAGGCAAAUCCGGAAAAUCAAGGCUGAGGCGUGAUGACGAGGCACUACGGUGCUGAAGCAACAAAUGCCCUGCUUCCAGGAAAAGCCUCUAAGCAUCAGGUAACAUCAAAUCGUACCCCAAACCGACACAGGUGGUCAGGUAGAGAAUACCAAGGCGCUUGAGAGAACUCGGGUGAAGGAACUAGGCAAAAUGGUGCCGUAACUUCGGGAGAAGGCACGCUGAUAUGUAGGUGAAGUCCCUCGCGGAUGGAGCUGAAAUCAGUCGAAGAUACCAGCUGGCUGCAACUGUUUAUUAAAAACACAGCACUGUGCAAACACGAAAGUGGACGUAUACGGUGUGACGCCUGCCCGGUGCCGGAAGGUUAAUUGAUGGGGUUAGCCGCAAGGCGAAGCUCUUGAUCGAAGCCCCGGUAAACGGCGGCCGUAACUAUAACGGUCCUAAGGUAGCGAAAUUCCUUGUCGGGUAAGUUCCGACCUGCACGAAUGGCGUAAUGAUGGCCAGGCUGUCUCCACCCGAGACUCAGUGAAAUUGAACUCGCUGUGAAGAUGCAGUGUACCCGCGGCAAGACGGAAAGACCCCGUGAACCUUUACUAUAGCUUGACACUGAACAUUGAGCCUUGAUGUGUAGGAUAGGUGGGAGGCUUAGAAGUGUGGACGCCAGUCUGCAUGGAGCCGACCUUGAAAUACCACCCUUUAAUGUUUGAUGUUCUAACGUUGACCCGUAAUCCGGGUUGCGGACAGUGUCUGGUGGGUAGUUUGACUGGGGCGGUCUCCUCCUAAAGAGUAACGGAGGAGCACGAAGGUUGGCUAAUCCUGGUCGGACAUCAGGAGGUUAGUGCAAUGGCAUAAGCCAGCUUGACUGCGAGCGUGACGGCGCGAGCAGGUGCGAAAGCAGGUCAUAGUGAUCCGGUGGUUCUGAAUGGAAGGGCCAUCGCUCAACGGAUAAAAGGUACUCCGGGGAUAACAGGCUGAUACCGCCCAAGAGUUCAUAUCGACGGCGGUGUUUGGCACCUCGAUGUCGGCUCAUCACAUCCUGGGGCUGAAGUAGGUCCCAAGGGUAUGGCUGUUCGCCAUUUAAAGUGGUACGCGAGCUGGGUUUAGAACGUCGUGAGACAGUUCGGUCCCUAUCUGCCGUGGGCGCUGGAGAACUGAGGGGGGCUGCUCCUAGUACGAGAGGACCGGAGUGGACGCAUCACUGGUGUUCGGGUUGUCAUGCCAAUGGCACUGCCCGGUAGCUAAAUGCGGAAGAGAUAAGUGCUGAAAGCAUCUAAGCACGAAACUUGCCCCGAGAUGAGUUCUCCCUGACUCCUUGAGAGUCCUGAAGGAACGUUGAAGACGACGACGUUGAUAGGCCGGGUGUGUAAGCGCAGCGAUGCGUUGAGCUAACCGGUACUAAUGAACCGUGAGGCUUAACCUU
rnacentral:rRNA from 1 species